rnacentral:rRNA from 1 species
AUGGUCUGCGAGGUCCUCGCACGCGUCAAGGACGAGGGCGACCUCUUUACCUGUGCCAGGACGUGCAGGCGGUGGAGCUGCCUCGCGGCCGACGUCCGGCGCCGCCGCUGGCCGGACCACAGGUCUUCGUUCCUCUCUGGGUUCUUCAUUGCGAAAAGUUCUGCGAGGUCCCUCUUCCUGACGCCGGCAUCCGUGUUCGGGCGUGAUCGCCGUCUCCUCCGUUCCUUCUUCCCCGACGCCGCCAGUGGCCUCCUCGAACGAGCAACGCCCCUUGCCGCGCGCCAUGGGCUGCUCCUCGUGCGCCUCCCUUCCUCCGGUGCCCUGCUUCACCUCGCCGUGUGCAAUCUGCUUGCCGGCUCAUGCGACGUUCUGCCCCCGCUGGAGAGUGAUUGGAAGUACCGUGAUAGUGGCUAUGCCAUCUUGACCAGCGCAGACUGCUCCUCAAACGGCGAGCAGAAAUCUUCGUCGUCAUAUUCAUCGGGCUACUCGGCUUUGUUCAAAGUUCUGGUCAUCUGCAGCAAUAGCGAUCACCAACCGUGCACCCUCCACACAUUCUCAUACAGCGAGGCGUCGUGGAACAUGCCUACAGAAAUAGUUUUCAACCCUACCAAGGUUGGCAUCUGCGGGCCGUUCAUGCAUCGCAACGCCGUUGUGUGCCACGGCACCGCACACUGGCUCUUUGGGUGGGAUUUCUUGCCUCCUUAUGCUUCUAGGUUGCAUACUAUUGAUGUGGAUGCUGAGACAUGCCAAGUCUCCCUAACUAAGAUCGUGAGCCCGAUCAUACACAAUGUACACAUAUACGAUGAACCACAGCUUAGUGUUGCUGCUAACGGGGCACUAUCAUUGAUUUACAUGGAAAGGCCAGGCAAUAAUGUGCAAGGAUUCCGGCUAAAAAUAUGCACACGGAAAGAUGACGAAAAAAGCGAGGAUGAUGGUCCUGUAGGAUGGCUUUAUAGUCGAGUCGUUGAGCUAAAACCACCCAACCAGAUUCGAGCAGAAGGCCUGCACUUGACCUUUCUGGGAGAGAAGGGUGGCACGGUGGUUGUCAGGGACAACUACAUGAACUUCUACACUGCUGAUCUUGAGACAGGAGUGAUGGAGAAGUUGAUCUAUCACGGCCGUGUUAGUAGAUGGAUGUUCAUGCCCUUUGAGAUAUAUUGGCCGACAUUCUAA